UAUCGGUAUCGGACAUUGAGAGUUGGACAAUAUCGGAAUAUCGGAUUUCGGCAGAAAAGCCAAUAUCGAGCAUCCCUAAUAUAUAGUAAAAAAAUGCUCUUCAUUCUUUAAAACCCAAAUAUAUUCAGUGUAUGAACAGCAGCAACAUAUCUUAGGUGUUCAAAUUAUAUGAAAAAAUUAUAAUCACAUUAAAGCAUUUAAUUAUAAAUGAAUAAAUGCACCUUGUGACAAAACCACAGAUAAAGUUGUGUGUUUGUACAGUGUUAAUAAAGUUGUGUGUUUGUACAGUGUUAAUAAAGUUGUGUGUUUGUACAGUGAUAAUAAAGUUGUGUUUGUACAGUGUUAAUAAAGUUGUGUGUUUGUACAGUGUUAAUAAAGUUGUGUGUUUGUACAGUGAUAAUAAAGUUGUGUGUUUGUACAGUGUUAAUAAAGUUGUGUUUGUACAGUGUUAAUAAAGUUGUGUGUUUGUACAGUGUUAAUAAAGUUGUGUGUUUGUACAGUGUUAAUAAAGUUUUGUGUUUGUACAGUGAUAAUAAAGUUGUGUUUGUACAGUGUUAAUAAAGUUGUGUGUCUGUACAGUGAUAAUAAAGUUUUGUGUUUGUACAGUGUUAAUAAAGUUGUGUGUCUGUACAGUGAUAAUAAAGUUGUGUUUGUACAGUGUUAAUAAAGUUGUGUGUUUGUACAGUGAUAAUAAAGUUGUGUGUUUGUACAGUGUUAAUAAAGUUGUGUGUUUGUACAGUGUUAAUAAAGUUGUGUUUGU